rnacentral:rRNA from 1 species
CUCAAAGGAAUUGACGGGACCCGCACAAGCAGCGGAGCGUGUGGUUUUAAUUUCGGUUUGUCUACACGAAGAACCUUACCUGGGUUUGACAUAUAGGUUGUAGGGAACUGAAAGGGACCGACCCUUCGGGGAGCCUAUACAGGUGUUGCAUGGCUGUCGUCAGCUCGUGUCGUGAGAUGUUCGGUUAAGUCCGCUAACGAGCGCAACCCUCGUCGUAUGUUAUAUGUGUCAUACGAGACUGCCGGUAAAAGCCGGAGGAAGGUGAGGAUGAUGUCAAGUCAGCAUGACCUUUAUAUCCAGGGCUACACACACGCUACAAUGGUCUGUACAAUGGGUAGCCAAGCCGCGAGGCGGAGCCAAUCCUGAAAGCAGGCCUCAGUUCAGAUUGCAGUCUGCAACUCGACUGCAUGAAGCCGGAGUUGCUAGUAACCGCAGGUCAGCAAUACUGCGGUGAAUACGUUCCCGGGUCUU